AUUCAUCAACCCCGAAGGGAUUUGCGUCCUUCUCGGUGGCUUGGACUUGGGGGAUUAUUGCUGGCCUUCAUCGGUCGGCUCCCCUUGAAUGCAUUAGCUUGGACUUGUCCCAGCGACGUCAUAGCGUGAUAAUUAUCUACGCUUUGAACCGUCUGUUGGUACCUCGUCGGUCUGGCUUCCAACCGUCUUCGGACAACAUACCAUUCA
rnacentral:misc_RNA from 1 species